AAAAUCCGGUUUCUCUUCAAAUCGCAUAAAUCUUUUGCCUUUUAUGAAAGAUUUUCAUGGAGGAAAUAUCUGAGUCUUAAACCAAUUUUUUGAGGCCUUGUCUUGACAAGGCU